AUGAAGGGAGCUGUAGGGCGGGGGGCUGGUCCGUCAUCCACUAACCCGAUUCCGGACCAUACUGCUGAUACUGGGAGGGAGGAGGAGGAGGCGGACCACCGCCAGGAGGAUGAUGAGGAGUGGGAUAAUCUAGGUCACGACUCGGCCCUGGAAGAUGCUUUUGAAGGAUUGAAAUUGCACGGGGAGGAGGAGGAAGAUUUAGAUCUGUCAGGAGAAGUGGAAGAUUUGAUUAAGGAGGUUCGAUGGCUAUGCCUUUUUAGGGUUCAUACAAUGAGGCCGUUCAGCCACGCGGCGUUGCUAAAUUCUCUGAGGAAUGUGUGGUCGUGCACGCAAGGAGUUACAUUCAAUAUCAAAGGGCCUAAUCUCUUCCUAGCUCAGUGCCAUUGUUUGGGGGAUUGGAAGCGGGUGAUGGAAGGAGGGCCUUGGCAAUUUAGGAGGGAUCCGGUCAUCAUUGUUGAGUACGAUGGGUUUACAAAUGUUGCUGAAUAUGCCCUGGAUAUGUAUCCACUAUGGGCUAGAAUUAAAGGACCCCCGGAUGGGCUAAUGAGGAAGAAGGAGCUGGCUGAGAAAGUGGCUAAAAAGGUGGGCAUGCCACCCUUUACUGUUGCUGUCAAUGAAGGGAGGAUUAAUCCAUCGAGCUUUCUGAGGGUUAGGGUUUUUGUUGAUGUCCAUAAACCCUUGGUAAGGUUUGUCCCAAUCACUUUGAAAGAGUUCAAGCGAUACCUAGUGAGCUACGAGAAACUACCGAAUUUUUGCUUUUUUGUGGCUGCAUGGGCCAUGUGGUCGAAGAAUGUGGAGAUGGAGUGCAUGAUCCAUCGGAGUGUGAUUGGAGGCAAUGGUUGCAUUGGAGUAAUGAGCAGCCUAUGGGGGCGCAGGUAG
rnacentral:rRNA from 1 species